GUCCGUCGUGAAGAGGGAAACAACCCAGACCGCCAGCUAAGGUCCCAAAGUCAUGGUUAAGUGGGAAACGAUGUGGGAAGGCCCAGACAGCCAGGAUGUUGGCUUAGAAGCAGCCAUCAUUUAAAGAAAGCGUAAUAGCUCACUGGUCGAGUCGGCCUGCGCGGAAGAUGUAACGGGGCUAAACCAUGCACCGAAGCUGCGGCAGCGACGCUGAUGCGUUGUUGGGUAGGGGAGCGUUCUGUAAGCCUGCGAAGGUGUGUCGUGAGGCAUGCUGGAGGUAUCAGAAGUGCGAAUGCUGACAUAAGUAACGAUAAAGCGGGUGAAAAGCCCGCUCGCCGGAAGACCAAGGGUUCCUGUCCAACGUUAAUCGGGGCAGGGUGAGUCGACCCCUAAGGCGAGGCCGAAAGGCGUAGUCGAUGGGAAACGGGUUAAUAUUCCCGUACUUGGUGUUACUGCGAAGGGGGGACGGAGAAGGCUAUGUUGGCCGGGCGACGGUUGUCCCGGUUUAAGCGUAUAGGUGUGUGUUCCAGGUAAAUCCGGUUCACUUUAACACUGAGGCGUGAUGACGAGGCGCUACGGUGCUGAAGCAACAAAUGCCCUGCUUCCAGGAAAAGC
rnacentral:rRNA from 1 species